rnacentral:rRNA from 1 species
UACGGGGGGGGCAAGCGUUGUUCGGAAUUACUGGGCGUAAAGCGCGCGUAGGCGGCUUUGCAAGUCGAGUGUGAAAUCCCCAGGCUUAACCUGGGAACUGCAUUCGAGACUGCAUAGCUAGAGUAUGGGAGAGGGAAGUGGAAUUUCAGGCGUAGCGGUGAAAUGCGUAGAUAUCUGAAGGAACAUCAGUGGCGAAAGCGACUUCCUGGACCAAUACUGACGCUCAUGUGCGAAAGCGUGGGGAGCAAACAGG